rnacentral:lncRNA from 1 species
UUAAUCAAAAACCAUAAUUUUUAAUUUUUUUCUAAAUUUUUAAUAACAAAAUAAACAAAUAGCACGAUUUCACUCAGUGUACUAAGCAAGCGCACGCACACAAUCAUACGCUAGCAGAUAUCAAAUGUGUGAUUGUAUGCGAUGGUAAAUACCCAGCAAAACUUGCGUCACCGAAACUCCAAUACAUUUACACAAUUUUUACUUGUCACUAACACCCCCUCACAAAUCUUUGAAAUGAGUAAGAAUUCUUACUAUUGCAGAGAUGGGCAAAUGAAAUGUAUGGAUGUAUUGGUAACCGCGAGCGUAAAGUGGCUACCAUGGGCCAAAGAACAUUUGCAGUCAGUUGAUUAACACACAACAGCGAAGCAACAUCGUGCGCCGCUUGAUUGUUUUAUGAUACUAUUUAUGCGCGUAUCUAUAUUUGUUUGUUCAAAAUUAUUGACAAAUAUUGCUUUAUGAUUUCCGAUGCCGAGGCAAGCCUUAUUUUUAAGCAUGAUUUCUCGAGAGCUUCACAAUUUUAACUUUAUCUUAAAAUUUCCGCUAACUAGUUUGCUAGUAAAAGUAGUCAACUCCCUAUUUACCCCCCCCAAGGUAUCUGAAAUUAUAACAUUUUAUUUAUGUUAUACAUUUCAAAUGUGGCAAAAAUAUACUAGGGCAUAAAAAACAUCAACAUACCGACUACCUAUGCUACCUCGUUACUGUCUGCAGCGCAACUGGCAGGAAAAUCAAUUCAUUAUCCCACAGUGCAAAACUGGUUUUUUCGCUCUCAAUAGCGACUGAAAUAAGAGCGUAAGAAUACGUGUGCUGAGAGUAACUGCUCAUGUGAGUCAAAACGCCCAUGCAUGAUCUAUUGUGUCUUUUGUUUGUUUUAUAUUAUAAGCUCUUCACUCAACAGAUGUUAAGCAAAAAUAAAACAAAAGAAGACAAAAAAAUUUUUUAGCAGUCACCGCUUAUUGAAAACCAUGGGUGUGAAAGCGUACAGCAUGAUACCGUGAAUUUGAUGUUUGCUUGUUCGUUGUGAGAAAUUGAAUUCGAAGAAAAAAAGAAUUCGGUUACAAACGCGUCGAUAAUUGAGAAUUGUGCAGAUUUGUGCUUGUGCAUAUUUAUGCAAAUAAUUGUGUUUCUUUAAUAUUUGUGAAUAUUUUGUGUCUUCAAGUGCAAUAAUAUUUGGAAAAAGGGUGAGUAAAAAAAAUACUAAUUCAAUACGAAGAAAAAUACAUUUAGUGCAUAUAUGAGCCGGGAAGAAAAGGUUUUUAAUAUUAGUGCUUCUAAAUUUGUGAAAAUUUGUGAAAAAGAUGUAAAUUUUGAUUGUGCUCCUGAUGUGGAGAAAUGCCGUUCACUAAGCUCCCUUGAUUUUUCUUCAAAUCGCAGCGAUAGCUAUGUUAGUGAUAGGAAUAAUAGCGAUAGCGAAAUUUUAAAAGUGAUAGAAAAUAACUCAUUUAGUUUAGAAUUAAAAGCUUGGGCUUUAAGAAAUAGGGUAUCCCAUAAUACAGUAACCGAUCUUCUGCAAACGUUGCGAAAAAUAGGUUGCACAGAUUUACCUCUAACGGCUAAAAAUCUCCUAGGUACCAGCCGAAAAAAAUUUAAUAUUCAAACGAUUCCAAGUGGAACUUUUUUAUAUAGAGGAAUUCAAAAUCAUUUUGAGGGAAAUUCAUUUCCUCAACUUGAAAAUGAAAAUAAUAUUGUGCUAGAUUUUUCUAUUCCACAUGAGGGCAAGUUUUUUCUAAUUCCGAUUUCACAUCAUCUAUUUCAUGAAUUUUCAAUUUAGUACCACUGUAAUUAUUGUAUCCCGGUGGUAUUUUAUUAUAUUAUGUUAAGUUAUUUAAAAUGAAUUUUGAUGCUGCCCAGUUUUUAUUUCUUAAUCAGAUGGAUUCACCAGCGCUUUUUGAUGACACCUAUUUGGAGGAAUGCCCAACAACUUCUUCGACUCCCGUAAAAGGUGCAUAACAGUUGACAUUUAAAUGGAAGAAAUUCAACAUUUCUGGUUGCUACAACUCAGAGGCAAGCUUUUCAAAACAACAAGGAAAAAAUUUGCCUGUGGAUGGAAAUGAUGUUUUUAACAUGUUAAAAACUAUUUCCACCCAACUACAAAAGUUGUCAUCUGUACACUGACGAAUUCCUGACUUUGUGUAACUGAGACGGUAGGGGAGGCAAGCAACCGCUAUCAAAGUUGUUGUUGUCCAACAUAUUAUAUGGUAAAUUUUAUACAUAAAUUCUUUCAUCACUUAUGGACUUGCACAUUUCGAGCAACAAAUGCGGAAGUCCAUCGAAAUUAGCCACCAUAGAUUUAAGCAAAAAAAUAUAUGUAUAAUAAUAUACAGCUUCAAAAUAUUCUUAUGAAUACAAAGUAUAAGUCUGCCAACAAAUUUGUACAAGCGAUUACAUUUUUUAUCAAAAAUUUCGUUAAAAUGAAAUAUUGGAGGGAAAUAAGUUAACAUUCUGAGACGUAAACAUUUCAGUAUUUUGGUAUAUAUUAAUUAUAUAUGGUUAAAUUAAAUAUUUUGUGAAAAUUUGAACUUGUUUCUUCUUUCCAUUGCAGUCCAGCAACUAUUCAUAUCUUUACAUGAUUUGAAAAAAGAAACAAAUUUGUCUGGUUCCUUCCUUUUCCACCCAUUUCUCAUUUUUUGUAUUUUUCUUCUCCUUGUACGAGGAUUUCCUUAUUUGUAUUGAAGGCGAAAAUCACUGGUUCGAAUCAAAUCUGAACUUACGUUUUACAGAGGUGAAACUAUAUAAUUUACGAGUAUUCGAGAAUAAUUCU